rnacentral:misc_RNA from 1 species
AAGUCGUAACAAGGUUUCCGUAGGUGAACCUGCGGAAGGAUCAUUACAGAGAGGGGUCCCGCGCCCCUGGGGACUCCGGUCCCCGCCUCUACACCCCGUGAUUUCCGUUACCAAAUGUUGUUUUGGCGGGAUGUCGCCCUCCAAGGCCCCGCCAACACCCUAGCAAAACUCGUUUUAUGCGUGGCAGUCCGAGUACCGAUAUAUAAUGAAUCAAAACUUUCAACAACGGAUCUCUUGGUUCUG